GCCAGCACCGUCGUUCCGACUCCGAGUCCUGAGACCCCCUCUGCUCCGGCGCCAGGGACUCGCACUCCGCCUCUGCUCCACCGCCGACGGCGAUUUCGGAUUCACCAUCCUUCUCGGCCGUCCAUGGAUGGAUGAUUUCUCUAAGGAAUUCUCUCUCUGUCUCUCUCUCUCUCUCUCCUCAGCAUUUCCACCACCCUCUUGGUCGGCGCCGGAUACUUCGCCUUAGGCUUUCUCCUCGCCCACAAGGAGACCUGGAACGGCUUUCCUUCCCAAGUUCUUGGAUCAAGCCUUCGCUGAUAGGACUACAGUCGCCUCCUUUCGGCCGACGACGCUGCCGCCUAGCCCGAGUAUAUAGAGAGAACCACGCAGAAGAAGCCCUCCCUUCACGAGAUCAAAACCCUUGCUGAAAUUCUUGAAAGUUUCGACAUGGUUUUGCUUGUUAGAAAUGAUCUGGAAAUGAGACAAGGGAAGAUUGCUGCCCGACGCAGUGAGACUAAUGAGUUUGAUGGACAUCAUGAGCAAGAGAACAGAGAAACUAGCUACUCAAAAGCAUAAAAGACAGCCAUGCAAUGGUGGUUUGUAUAAAGAGCUCCUUCGUAGGUCUGUGCAAGCUUUCAGCAGGUACCUUUGGUUAUUCUCAUAAAUGAAUUAUCUAUCUCAUAGAAAGUUCCUUGAUAGGGAUUCAAAAGAAGUGUGCAGGUACCUUUUGGUACUCUUACAAAUUUAUCAUCAUAUCUCGUAUACCUUGCUUUUGCACCUACAAAAUCAAGAAUUGUCAUAAUAGAACUUCAUAUACUGGUUCUAGAUAUUUUGAUUUUAUCAUGUACAGCUUCUUUUGUCGACAUGAGGGAGAAUCUAGGACAAGAUUGUAAUCAUAAUCAAAAGGGAGAUCUUCUGUGGUUACAAGUAUAUUACAGUGACAUGUAGUUUAAUCACAUUGGUUAACAUAGAUCUAUGACUUUCUUCAUCUAGAUUUGCACCUUUUUCUGUCAUCAGAUAGUUCCAGACUCAUAAACCUGUUGCCAUCUCAAGAUGGUAUAUGGUAGUGGGUCAGUAGUAUAAAAGCAAACAGCACAAAGGAUCACCUGGUGGUUGAACCCAGUUGCCUAUAACAUUAAGUCUAUUGUCUUCUUAGAUGCACAA